UCACAGGAAGUUGAGGCCCAGAGAGAGGAAGGGGCUGGUUUGAUGUCCCAUAUAGAGAGGUGGCACAGCCAGGGCUGGGUAUCCCAGUCCCGUGUCAUGUCCAGCAUUUUAGUGCAGACUCACAUGCACAUCAAAUGCACAACCAUGCAAUGACAGACAAGCAGCUCCACAGGAGGAGUGCACAACCAGAGGGGAGAGGAGAGAGGCUGGACAGCCUCUGUCCUCACCUCCUCAGUGGCCACGUGGUGACGGCUGGGUUUUUUAUUUUUUUCUCCCUAGAUGAGCUUCACAUCUCAGGUAACUGGAGAAGUCUUCAGCUUGUCUUGUCCUCUCCACAGGUGGGGUGCCCACUGCUUCAACAGGGGCCAGAACAGUCUGCCCUCUUCCAUAGCUGUAAACCUCUGCUUGGCCCAGCAGGAGUGAGGGUAGAGGGGAGUAGGGCUCAAGGUGCCCUCGCUACCUAGUAGAUGGUAGGAGAGCAUGAGCAAAAGCCAAAGAGCUGUUUACAUGACUGGGUUCUCCCUGUGGCCUUCUGAGAUUGCAGGAGAUGGAAAGGGGGAGACCAGAUCCUAGGGGAACCCAAUAUUCAGGUUUUCCUGGGUUCCUGAGAUGCAAGAUUUCCAAUUUUAAGACAUGGGAAGUCGUAGGCAGACUGGGAUGAGUUGGUCACCUGGGUCUUCCACAGUUCCCAGUCUGAGAAAAUGAGACUCACCCAGUAAUAAGCAGAAGAUUUGGCUGGGUGAGGUGGCUCAUGCCUGUAAUCCCAGCACUUUGGGAGGCCGAGACAGGCAGAUCACAAGGUCAGGAGUUUGAGACCAGCCUGGCCAAGAUGGUGAAACCCCAUCUCUACUAAAGAUAUAAAAAUUAGCCGGGCGUGGUGGUGGGUGCCUGUAGUCCCAGCUACUCGGGAGGCUGAGGCAGGAAAAUCACUUGAACCCGGGAAGCGGAGGUUGCAGUGAGCCGAGAUCGUGCCACUGCACUCCAGCCUGAAGACAGAGCAAGACUCCAUCUUAAAAAAAAAAUGCAGAAGAUACUAUGGAAUGGGCCAGGAGAAAAAGGAAGGAUCAGGGAUGGGAGAGACACAGUGAGCCACACAGUAGCUGGCAUUCUGCAUGGUGGGCCUGGGCAGCCUGGCUCUUCAUUUGCAUAUGGGUCUUUCCCACCCCAGUCAAAUCUGCUGGAGCCAAUUCUGCUCCCUUCCAACAAAGAUGCCCAGACACCUGGCGGUAGUGUGUUACUUCCUGCUCCCAGCUCCUCUAACACCCCUGGAAAGCUCCAUGCCCACAGGUCUUACCUUCACCCACUUUCCCAGGCUCUUAGAUCAAACAUCAGGCACAGUGCAGGCAAUGGGGCCAUCCUCCCAAGUCCAAAAAGCCUUCUGUUUCCAGUAGAGAUGGGAGAAGCCUGAACUAAGCAGGUUUCUCACUUCCUUAUGGAGGAAGAAGAGCUAAGAGAGGUGACUGAUUUUAGUACAAAGGGCACAGGGCACAGAAACAUGCAGGAAUACAUUAGCUGCGUGCACUCCAGUGAUACAUAGCCUCUGUAAACCUGUUUCCUUAUCCUGAAAAUGGGGACAUUGUUCCUAUCUUGUGAUUGUAUUAAGGAUCAAAUGAGCAGCUGCUCAACAGAGGUUGCUGGAGAGGUCCUUCUCCACACAGACUUGGGAGGAGAUGCUUGUCCUAGGUCCAAAUCUCAUCCAGGUUUCCCGAUUUUUUCAGGUCUUCUGCUCAACUCAGGUACCAGCUGACACCCACCCAGUCCCUGGUGUUGCCUUCAGGAGCAGUGGCAAGAUGGGAGCUGGUUGGGGAAGGGGAUCCUAGAGCAGGGGGGAGGAGGAGAGAAUGGAAUGGCUGGACUUUGAGAUGAGAAGACAGUUGGAUGGGGAGGAGGCACCAUUUGCUGGAACUGAAGGGUUCUCAGUAGGGGCUCGAGGCAGGAUGUAUCUGUGAUAUCUGGACCUCUGGAGUCCCUUAAGCACAAGGAGGCAACUGUGUGGCAGUGAAGACAUUCUGCCUUGGGCCCAAGCCCAAGACAGGUCUCCCUGAGCCCUGGGCAGACCAUCCGACCUAUGGUCAUUGGAAGGACCCACCUGCUCCCUAUCCCGGGCCUGUGUAAACGCCAGGAAGUCAGGUCCCUUUCUCAAUGCAGGCCCUGACUGGGGCAGUCAGCACCAUUAAGUUCUUCCUCUCUGAGGCUUUCCUGGGUCAACACUUCAAGGCUGUGUAGUUGGAGGGCAGGGAGCCUGAGCCAGGAGACGUCUUCCUGUUCAGGCUGAUGCCCCCCACCUGACGCUGGUGCGGGGCCCACGUGGGCAUAUACUGUGGCCAUGGAGAGAUCAUCCACUUUGAGGGUGAGUGCCUCCAGCAGAAACACAGGCCCAAGUCUGCGGAGAGGCUGCCCAGCCAAGCCACGCCCCACCAGUGAGCUGGCUACUCGGGGAUAAAGACUGAAGUCCCAGGCUGGGGGUGUCAAUGGACGUGGACGUGUCCCCGGAUUAAGCAUGACCUUGGCCCUCCUGGGUGGACGUGGAGGCUUCAGAAAGAUUCAUUAAACUACUUUCCAAAGCUU
rnacentral:sRNA from 1 species